rnacentral:rRNA from 1 species
AUGGCGUCCGCCGUGCCGUGGAAGCCGCUGUACUGGCAGCGCAUCCGCGACGCCUCCGUUCUCGCCGACGCCGCCCGCGACCGCCUCGCCGCCGUGGCCCUCGACCUCGUCCCUUUGCCUCCCCGGGCCGUCGACGUCGCUCACGCAGUCUCCCUGAUCGGGGACUGCGAGGAGAAGCUAGCCGAGGCCGGCAAGUUUCUCGGGUUCCUGCUGUCUUCGCUGGGGACCGUGGAGAUCCUGGCGCUUAGGCGGAUGUGGAGCGACGACGCGUUGGAGCAGCAGCUCCGGCCGAGGGCGCGCCAGGCCAGCGCGAGUGCCGGCGCGGCCUACGACGACGUGGCCUCUUCCCGCGGCCACCUCGGAGCAGCGCGUCGCCUUCUCGCUCCAGGCGACCUCCUCCGGCCCCACGUCGACCGGCAGGUCCUCGCCGCCGCCAGGGACGUCGCCGCGGCUGUCGAGCAGCUCCACGGGGUGGAGGCCGCGCUACGUACCGGCGGCGACCUGGCUCUGCCGCGCGCCCUGCUGCCCCGGAGCGCCGACCCCAUCACCCGCACAGCCGAGGCCGCGGCGCACCCCGGCGCCAAGAGGCCGAGGGAGCACGGCGACGCGUGGAGGGCCGUCGCACGCUCCGUCCCCGCCACGCUCCUGCAGGCGUGCGCCCACCUCCCCGAGCUCGAGGCUGCGCACGCCGAGCUCGCCCGCUGCGCCGACGCCCUCGAGACGUCCACGUCCGAGAGGGCGGUGGUCCUUGCCUUCGUCGCGGCGCACACCGCAUUGUCGCGCGUUCUCGCCGCCUUUGCGGGGGCGAACACCGCCUUCUUCCUCUCCACGUCCCAGCUCGGCCUCAACGAUGGCGGGCCCCGGUGGCGAUCUUUGGAGGUCUCGCGCGCCGAUGCCGAGCGCCACGGCCGCGCGGCCCUGGACCUGCUCUGGUCCGCGUCUGCCUGCUUGGAUUACCUCUUCGCCGGCGUCCUCGCAUGGUCCGACUUCAAGUCUAGGGAGGCCGACGAGCUUUUGCGCCGAUCCGUCGCGGAGGCCGGCGAGGCGGUCGACGCCGCCAACUCCAUGUGCGCUGCAGGCGGCCGCAUCUUCCUCAGCUCGUGCACAAUCAUAGGUACAGCCGUUGUGCCCACCAGUAGGCGUUUUUUGGCCUUCUAG